GGAGGAGUGCGAGAGCGGUUAAUCGAAUAGGUUGCUAACCUAUGACGGCGAAAGCCGUCCGUGGGUUCGAAUCCCACCUCCUCCG
rnacentral:tRNA from 1 species